GAUACGGGAGAGACCCGCGAAAGGCGGGAGCCGAAGGGGCAUGAAAAAACUCUCAGGCAAAAGAACCGGAU
rnacentral:ncRNA from 1 species